CGCCGUCUUCGCGACGAAGGAGGCUGCCCAUUGCGUCCCACCCCACCAGAAAGCCAAACACUGGCCUACAUCGGAAUCUUAAAGCGACUUUAUUUUUAAGCAAUCUCUACACCUAACAUGGGGCUUGAACUCACCGCCCCGAGAUCAAGAGUUGCAUGCUCUUCUGACUGAGCCGGCCAGGUGCCCAAGUUAAACCUUUUUAAAGGCAGAGAUGGUCUAAUU
rnacentral:lncRNA from 1 species